rnacentral:tRNA from 1 species
GCUCCUUUCGUAUAAUGGCAAAUUACUACAGUUUUGUAAUCUGUGAAUCUCAGUUCGAUUCUGAGGAGGAGCU